rnacentral:rRNA from 1 species
UACGGAGGGGGCUAGCGUUGUUCGGAAUUACUGGGCGUAAAGCGCGCGUAGGCGGACCUGCAAGUCGGGGGUGAAAGCCCGAGGCUCAACCUCGGAACUGCCUUCGAUACUGCGGGUCUCGAGUCCGGGAGAGGUGAGUGGAAUUCCUAGUGUAGAGGUGAAAUUCGUAGAUAUUAGGAAGAACACCAGUGGCGAAGGCGGCUCACUGGCCCGGUACUGACGCUGAGGCGCGAAGGCCAGGGGAGCAAACGGG